rnacentral:rRNA from 1 species
AACGAACGCUGGCGGCAUGCCUAACACAUGCAAGUCGAACGAGACCUUCGGGUCUAGUGGCGCACGGGUGCGUAACGCGUGGGAAUCUGCCUUUCGGUUCGGAAUAACUCAGGGAAACUUGAGCUAAUACCGGAUGAUGUCGCAAGACCAAAGAUUUAUCGCCGAAAGAUGAGCCCGCGUAGGAUUAGCUAGUUGGUGAGGUAAAGGCUCACCAAGGCGACGAUCCUUAGCUGGUCUGAGAGGAUGAUCAGCCACACUGGGACUGAGACACGGCCCAGACUCCUACGGGAGGCAGCAGUGGGGAAUAUUGGACAAUGGGCGAAAGCCUGAUCCAGCAAUGCCGCGUGAGUGAUGAAGGCCCUAGGGUUGUAAAGCUCUUUUACCCGGGAUGAUAAUGACAGUACCGGGAGAAUAAGCCCCGGCUAACUCCGUGCCAGCAGCCGCCGCCGUAA